UGAGGAUGAUGUCCAGGAUGUUGGUC
rnacentral:piRNA from 1 species